UUAAGCUAAGAAGAGCGUAGGGAGAAUGCCUUGGCAUUAGGAGCCGACGAAGGACGUGAUAAGCUGCGAUAAGCUGCGGGGAUCAGCAAGUAUGAAUUGAUCCGCAGAUUUCCGAAUGGAGCAAUCCGUAUGUGUAUGCACAUACAUCAUAUACUGAAUCAAAUAGGUAUAUGAGGGGAACCGCCUGAACUGAAACAUCUAAGUAGGGCGAGGAAGAGAAAUCAACCGAGAUUCUGUGAGUAGUGGCGAGCGAAAGCGGAAGAGGCUAAACCAUAGGUAGCAAUACUUAUGGGGUUUCGGACAGCAUUUAGUAUUGAUAAUUUCUAGUUGAAACGUGUGGGAAAACGUACCGAAGAGUGUGAGAGUCACGUAAGCGAAAGAGAGAGUCAGCGAGCUGUAUCCAAAGUACCGCGGGACACGUGAAACCCCGUGGGAAGAUGGGGGGACCAUCCUCCAAGCCUAAAUACUACCUAAUGACCGAUAGCGAAUAGUACUGUGAAGGAACGGUGAAAAGAACCCCGGGAGGGGAGUGAAAAAGAACCUGAAACCCUAUGCUUACAAGCACCGAGAGCACGUCAAAGUGUGAUCGGGUACCUUUUGUAGAAUGGUCCGGCGAGUUAUUGUAUGCGGCAAGGUUAAGUGCUUAAGGCACGGAGCCGAAGCGAGAGCAAGUCUGAACAGGGCGAAAAAGUCGUAUGCAAUAGACCCGAAACCGAGUGACCUAUCCAUGUCCAGGCUGAAGUGGAGGUAAAACUCCAUGGAGGGCCGAACACACGUCCGUUGAAAAGGCCGGUGAUGAGGUGUGGAUAGCGGAGAAAUUCCAAUCGAACUCGGAUAUAGCUGGUUCUCUCCGAAAUAGCUUUAGGGCUAGCCUCGUGAAAGAUUACUGGAGGUAAAGCACUGAAUGGGCUAGGGGUCGAAAGAUUACUGAACCCUAUCAAACUAAGAAUGCCAGAUAAUUGAUUCACGGGAGUCAGACAAUGUGAGAUAAGUCUCAUUGUCAAAAGGGAAACAGCCCAGACCCACAGCUAAGGUCCCUAAACAUUGUUAAGUGGAAAAGGAUGUGGGGUUGCAUAAACAACCAGGAUGUUGGCUUAGAAGCAGCCACUCAUUAAAAGAGUGCGUAAUAGCUCACUGGUCGAGUGACCCUGCGCCGAAAAUUCAACGGGGCUAAACAAUGUACCGAAGCUUGGGAUUCUAGAUUUAUCUAGAGUGGUAGGAGAGCGUCGAAUAAGGGGUGAAGUCAGAGCGGAAGCGCUGGUGGACUUUAUUCGAGUGAGAAUGCCGGAAUGAGUAGCGAGAAUUAUGUGAGAAUCAUAAUGGCCGAAAAUCUAAGGUUUCCUGAGGAAGGUUCGUCCGCUCAGGGUAAGCCGGGGGCUAAGGCGAGGCGGAGACGCGUAGCCGAUGCACAUACGGUUGAAAUUCCGUAGCCACCGAAAGAUUUAAGUACAGGGACGCUUUAGAAGUGAUGUUGCCGGGCGAUGGUUGACCCGGUCGUAAGGGAUCGAAAAUGAGUAGAGAAGUCAUCAUGGAAAGAGACAAGAAAAGCUGUAUGGAUAUCUUAGGUGCCCGUACCGCAAACCGACACAGGUAGAUAGGAAGAAGAUUCUAAGGCCAACGGGAGAAGGGUUGUUAAGGAACUCGGCAAGUUGACCCCGUAACUUAGGGAUAAGGGGUGCUCAAGUGAUUGAGCCGCAGAGAAUAGGCCCAGGCGACUGUUUAGCAAAAACACAGGUCUCUGCUAAAUCGAAAGAUGACGUAUAGGGGCUGACACCUGCCCGGUGCCGGAAGGUUAAGAGGAGAUGUGAGAGCAUUGAAUUGAAGCCCCGGUAAACGGCGGCCGUAACUAUAACGGUCCUAAGGUAGCGAAAUUCCUUGUCAGGUAAGUUCUGACCCGCACGAAAGG
rnacentral:rRNA from 1 species